UGCGUAGGUGGCUAUUUAAGUCGGAUGUGAAAGCCCGGGGCUCAACCUCGGAAUUGCAUUCGAUACUGGGUGGCUAGAGUUCGGUAGAGGGCGGCGGAAUUUCCGGUGUAGCGGUGAAAUGCGUAGAUAUCGGAAGGAACAUCAAUGGCGAAGGCAGCCGCCUGGGCCUGGACUGACACUGAGGCAAGAAAGCGUGGGUAGCAAACA
rnacentral:rRNA from 1 species